GAUUCAUCCUGGCAUCAUGGUACCUGAGUACUUAGAAUGUUGGAAGGUGUGCUCAGUGAAGAUGAAUAAUUUGCCUAAGAGCACUUGACUGGUGAAUCCCAUUCUCUUUUUGCAGUACCCAAGAGCUGGAUGCCUACAUGAUGAAGUCCACAGUGGCUGAGCACCUUCUGUCCCUGGGAUCUCAGACUCUGCCUGCCACAGAGCAGAUGACUGGAAAACCCUCCCCACUUGCUGUCAUUAUUCCUGAAAGGUCUUCAGGUGUGCCAGCAAUUCUCAGAGUGAAUAUCUACACCAGAAAAGCACAUAACUAUCAUGAGCAUAAGAUGUGGGAGUGCCACGGAGUGACCAUAGAAGUAUAGACAGUAAGAUCACAGCCAGAUACAACUUCUUGUUUUAUAGAUGAGAGACCUGAGGCCCAGAAAGAGGAAGGCACUUGCCCAUGGUCACACAGUGAGUUAGUGAGACUGGAGCCCAGGUCUCCAGGGUUCUGUGCAGUGCUAGUCACAGGCUGUUAGGCAAUUGGCUUUCCUGGGUUCUGGUCAAAUUCAUUUUUUGCCUACUCUGCCGCAUCUACACAGUCAGAUGUGAUUUGGGUUAAAGUUCAUUGAAUCAUG
rnacentral:lncRNA from 1 species